UCCGGUGGCGAUAGCGUAGAGGCCACACCCGUUCCCAUCCCGAACACGGAAGUUAAGCUCUACAGCGCCGAUGGUACUGCAAGGUUUCCUUUGUGGGAGAGUAGGUCGCCGCCGGAU
rnacentral:rRNA from 2 species